rfam:Erinaceus europaeus cont1.457331, whole genome shotgun sequence.
GAGCAGUCUUUUCCAUCUGGGUUCCAGACUGAGUUGAGAAGGUUGGGGUAAGCUUUAUAGGAAGGACAUAGGUUGAAUUUGGGAGGCCAGUAUGUGUAGGAAGCCCAGCCAUUCUCAUAAACACUCAGCACAUGUCAGACCAGGGGGCUGGGAGGUGGGGGGUAGAGCAGCAGGUGUGCUGCCUGCACUGUUCCUCCUGGAAUGCUGUUGCUUAGCAACAAGAU